GUGUCAGCAGCCGCGGUAAUACAGAGGUGGCAAGCGUUGUUCGGAAUUACUGGGCGUAAAGGGCGCGUAGGCGGUCUGGUCAGUCCCUUGUGAAAUCCCCCGGCUCAACUGGGGAACUGCACGGGAAACAGCCGGGCUUGAGUUCGGGAGAGGGAAGCGGAAUUCCGGGUGUAGCGGUGAAAUGCGUAGAUAUCCGGAGGAACACCGGUGGCGAAGGCGGCUUCCUGGACCGAUACUGACGCUGAGGCGCGAAAGCUAGGGGAGCAAACGGGAUUAGAUACCCUGGUAGUCC
rnacentral:rRNA from 1 species